rnacentral:rRNA from 1 species
UACGGGGGGAGCAAGCGUUGUUCGGAUUUACUGGGCGUAAAGGGCGCGUAGGCGGCCACCGCAAGUCGACUGUGAAAUCUCCGGGCUUAACCCGGAAAGGUCAGCCGAUACUGCGGGGCUAGAGUGCAGAAGGGGCAACUGGAAUUCUCGGUGGUAGCGGUGGAAAUGCGUAGGAUAUCGAGAGGAACACCUGCGGCGAAGGCGGGUUGCUGGGCUGACACGUGACGCUGGAGGCGCGAAAGCUAGGGGAGCGAACGGG